GCGUCAGCAGCCGCGGUAAUACAUGUGGGGCAAGCGUUGUUCGGAAUUACUGGGCAUAAAGGGUGCGUAGGUGGUCUGGUAAGUCAGUGGUGAAAUCGUCCGGCCCAACCGGACACGUGCCAAUGAUACUGCCGGACUCGAGUGCGUGAGGGGUAGGGGGAACGAGCAGUGUAGCGGUGAAAUGCGUAGAUAUUGCUCGGAAGGCCAAAGCCGAAGGGACCCUACUGGUGCGCAACUGACACUGAGGCACGAAAGCGUGGGGAGCAAACAGGAUUAGAUACCCCCGUAGUCC
rnacentral:rRNA from 1 species